rnacentral:rRNA from 1 species
CUACGGGUGGCAGCAGUGGGGAAUAUUGCACAAUGGAGGGAACUCUGAUGCAGCAACGCCGCGUGGAGGAUGACACAUUUCGGUGCGUAAACUCCUUUUAUAUAAGAAGAUAAUGACGGUAUUAUAUGAAUAAGCACCGGCUAACUCCGUGCCAGCAGCCGCGGUAAUAAGGGGGGUGCAAGCGUUACUCGGAAUCACUGGGCGUAAAGAGCAUGUAGGCUGGAUGACAAGUUGGAAGUGAAAUCCUAUGGCUUAACCAUAGAACUGCUUCCAAAACUGUCUUCCUAGAGUAUGGGAGAGGUAGAUGGAAUUUCUGGUGUAGGGGUAAAAUCCGUAGAGAUCAGAAGGAAUACCGAUUGCGAAGGCGAUCUACUGGAACAUUACUGACGCUCAGAUGCGAAAGCGUGGGGAGCAAACAGGAUUAGAUACCCCCGUAGUC